GCCACGGUGGUCUAGCGGUUAGAACGCUGGUCUUGUAAUCCGGGAGGGUCUCGGGUUCGAUUCCCGGCGGUGCCC
rnacentral:tRNA from 1 species